GGGUGCGAUCAUACCAGCUCUAAUGCACUGGAUCCCAUCAGAACUCUGCAACUAAGCGUGGUUGGAUGAGACUAGUACUAGGAUGGGCGACCUCCCGUGAAGUCCUCAUGUUGCACUCC
rnacentral:rRNA from 2 species